CUGGGUAAUAUUUUUAUGUACCUUGGAUUGGUUCAGUUGCAUUUGUGAAUUGUUCCUCUUGAGUUGCCAUCUUUGGUUAAUUCUAUUAUGUAUUGUGGAAAUAUUGCUCCUGUCUUGAUCUUUGAGUGUAGCAUUGUGAUUUUGGGGAAAUUACACAGGGGUCUAUUGUUGAUGAUGCUGCAUAUGAAGAGCUUCCUACAGGGGAGCAGAUAUGUCCUGAGAGGCACACCAAUAUAAUUUCAAGAACAUUCUUUGGUUGGAUGAAUCCCCUUAUGCAGCGUGCAUAUCAAAGACCAAUAACAGAGAAGGAAGUGUGGAAGUUAGAUACUUGGGAUAGAAUAGAAACACUGAAUGCUAAGUUCCAAGAAUGUUGGGUUAAAGAAUCUCAGAAGCCAAAGCCAUGGCUGUUAAAAGCAUUAAACAGUAGCCUUGGAGGAAGGUUUUGGUGGGGAGGCUUUUGGAAGAUGUGACAAGCGAAAUAGAAAAUGAUACUUAA